rnacentral:rRNA from 1 species
AGCGUAUAUUAAGUUGUUGCAGUUAAAAAGCUCGUAGUUGAAUUUCGGGAUCAGUACGUUGGUCGUGCCUUAGGUACGUACUGGUGUUACUGGUUCCUACCUUCUGACGAACCAUCAUGUCAUUAAUUUGGUGUGGCGGGGAAUCAGGACUGUUACUUUGAAAAAAUUAGAGUGUUUAAAGCAGGCUCGCGCUUGAAUACAUUAGCAUGGAAUAAUGAAAUAGGACGUUGAUCCUAUUUUGUUGGUUUCUAGGAUUGACGUAAUGAUUAAUAGGGAUAGUUGGGGGCAUUAGUAUUCAAUUGUCAGAGGUGAAAUUCUUGGAUUUAUUGAAGACUAACUACUGCGAAAGCAUUUGCCAAGGAUGUUUUCAUUAAUCAAGAACGAAAGUUAGGGGAUCGAAGACGAUCAGAUACCGUCGUAGUCUUAACCAUAAACUAUGCCGACUAGGGAUCGGAUGAUGUUAAUUUUUUAAUGACUCAUUC